AGUGAACGCUGGCGGCGUGCUUAACACAUGCAAGUCGAACGAGAACGGAUUAUAGCUUGCUAUAAUUGUCAGCUAAGUGGCGCACGGGUGAGUAAUGUAUAGGUAAUAUGCCUCUUACUAAGGGAUAACAAAUGGAAACGUUUGCUAAUACCUUAUACUCCUUAUUAACCUAAGUUAAUAAGGGAAAGAUUUAUUGGUAAGAGAUUAGCCUGUAUUGUAUCAGUUAGUUGGUGGGGUAAUGGCAUACCAAGACUAUGACACAUAACUGGUUUGAGAGGAUGAUCAGUCACACUGGAACUGGGACACGGUCCAGACUCCUACGGGAGGCAGCAGUGGGGAAUAUUGCACAAUGGACGAAAGUCUGGUGCAGCAACGCCGCGUGGAGGAUGACACAUUUCGGUGCGUAAACUCCUUUUAUAUGAGAAGAUAAUGACGGUAUUAUAUGAAUAAGCACCGGCUAACUCCGUGCCAGCCGCCGCCGUAACAC
rnacentral:rRNA from 1 species